rnacentral:sRNA from 1 species
CCAGUGUCUGGAAGAUUAACUCGGACGAAAGCCUUACCUUGAGAUUUAGCUUCAGAGUCCUUGACAAAAGUUAUAGGAAAUUCAAUUAGCUUUCCAACGACGGUAAUUUCAGGGCAAUCAGAGCAGUACUUCAAGAUUUAUGACCGAUUUAGUGCACACAUAUCAAUAUGACGCGUCUAAAAAGUUUAUCCGGAAACUUCAAGAUUUCAGACAAGAAGUUGUAGCGACUUAGUGCAGCGGGAUCAGUACAUCAAUAGACUUUUUCAUGAUAAAAUUAUGGGCAGCAUUACUGAUCGAAGAUUUUAAUAACUGGAAUGUGAAAACUGAUGUAAUGGCUCGGAGUUAUUAAAAUUUAAUGAGGUUGCAAAGAGUGAGAAGCGAUGAAGAAAGCUGCCAAAAGGAAGUUGAAACCAUAUGUUGAGAAACCAAUGAAGAAACAGCGGUCAAGGGGAAGGUGAAACCAGACGUUGUGAAGCUAGAGAAGAGCAAGGACGGCUUAAAGACGAAAAAGACGACAAUGGUUGCGAAAGACGGGUCUAGUGGUGGAUUGAAGCCGAAGAGGAAGAAGAGUGUGCUUUGGAAAUGAGGCAAAGG